rnacentral:sRNA from 1 species
CAUGUCCCCAGUUUAAGUAUUGGACUAUAAUAAUAUAAUACUAUUGACUAUUGGGUCAGGCUAACUAUACAUCUAUUUAAAAUAGAUCUAUUUAUAUUAGAUCUAGUGCUAUUACUAAAUUCAUUGAUAAAGUGAUGAAGGGUAAAAAGUCCAAAACACUCCAGCAGAUGGAAACAACGACAGAUGAGCUGCCGUCAGUUGAUGUGGACGCACUUCGUGAUGAAUUUGAAAGCAGUAGUGAAUGGAGAAUCAGAAGAAAAUUUUUACAGUCUAACUGUAAUAGCCUAAGCCUUGACCGUCUUAUCUGCCUUUCCCGUUGUUUUGUCAAUGUAGCAGUCUAUGGUUGCUCAUAUCCUCCAGAUGUCAUGAGAGAGCUGAAUGAAAGAAGUGGUGGAAUAUUGGAAGAGGCUGCGAAAGAACAAAAGUCAGAUGCACAACAGAAUUACUCUAUGUCAUUUGUAAAAGGCUGCCAAUAGGUUUUAUUUUUUGUUGUAGUCAUUGUAUGAUUUCA